rnacentral:misc_RNA from 1 species
UACGUAGGUGGCAAGCGUUAUCCGGAAUUACUGGGUGUAAAGGGAGCGCAGGCGGGAUAACAAGUCAGCGGUGAAAUUUAUGGGCUCAACCCAUAAACUGCCGUUGAAACUGUUAUUCUUGAGUGGAGUAGAGGCAGGCGGAAUUCCGAGUGUAGCGGUGAAAUGCGUAGAUAUUCGGAGGAACACCAGUGGCGAAGGCGGCCUGCUGGGCUCUAACUGACGCUGAGGCUCGAAAGUGUGGGGAGCAAACAGG